rnacentral:tRNA from 1 species
GCCCGGGUGGUGGAAUGGCAGACACGGCGGAUUCAAAAUCCGCUGACCUCACGGUCGUGCGGGUUCGAAUCCCGCCCCGGGCA